CCUUCCUUUUUUGGCAUGCCUCUGCGUCGACCAAUCAGCAGAGCAUGAAUGCUGAAGGAAGGAAAAUUACAGUUUGGGAAAUAUGCCUUCGGUGUCCACACGAUUCUUGUCUGGAUCCCAUCCUCAAGUUUCCCCACAUCG